AACGCACAUUGCGCCCGCUAGCAUUCUGGCGGGCAUGCCUGUCCGAGCGUCAUUUCGACCAUCAAGCCCUCCGAGGCUUGCGUUGGGGUCCUGCGGCCGCCCGCAGCCUCCGAAAUGCAGUGGCGGGCUCGCUAACGCGUCGAGCGCAGUAGGCAACUCUCGCUCGGGUCGGCGGUAGCGGGCGCCGGCCGUGAAACCCCCCUCCACUUCCCAAGGUUGACCUCGGAUCAGGUAGGGAUACCCGCUGAACUUAA
rnacentral:misc_RNA from 1 species